rnacentral:rRNA from 1 species
UAUGUAGGUGGCGAGCGUUAUCCGGAAUUACUGGGCGUAAAGUGUGCGCAGGCGGCAAAGCAAGUCGUGUGUGAAAGCCCCGGGCUUAACUUGGGCAUUGCGCUCGAAACUACUUUGCUGGAGUGUGGCAGAGGAAGGUGGAAUUCCACGUGUAGCGGUGAAAUGCGUAGAGAUGUGGAGGAACACCAAUGGCGAAGGCAGCCUUCUGGGAAAAAACUGACGCUCAUGCACGAAAGCGUGGGGAGCAAACAGG